GAAUCAGCCUUUAGCACCGGCGGACGCAUACUUGAUCCAUUUAGGAGUUCAUUGACUCCUAGAUUGGUUCAAGCUCUUGUGUGUGUCCAAGAUUGGCUUCGUAAUGAAUCAACAACUUCGAUUAAAAUUGAAGAAGAUUUAGAUAAUCUUGAACAACUUGAAGCUGAAUUUAUGAAUACGGGAAGAGAGCCUUGCAUUGUCGACAUAUAGUGAUUUUCCAUUUGUUGUACAAGCUCAGAUUUUUAACUUGUCUC